CAUGCAAGUCGAACGAGAAAGUCCCCGCAAGGGGAAGUUCUCAGUGGCGACCGGGUGAGUAACACGUGACUAACCUACACAGAAGCGGGGAAUAACCUCGGGAAACCGGGGCUAAUACCGCAUAUCGUCCUGAGGGGAAGAUCCUCAGGAGUCCCCCUGUCAAUCGGCUUUAGGAGGGGGUCGCGCCCGAUUACGGUAGUUGGCGGGGUAACGGCCCACCAAGCCUUUGAUCGGUAGCCGGCCUGAGAGGGCGCACGGCCACACUGGAACUGAAACACGGUCCAGACUCCUACGGGAGGCAGCAGUGGGGA
rnacentral:rRNA from 1 species